rnacentral:tRNA from 2 species
GGGCGCGUAGCUCAGCGGAAGAGCAUCAAGCUUAUACCUUGAGGGCCGUAGGUUCGAAUCCUACCGCGCCCACCA